AUUCGAGACCCAACUUCGAAUCCUAGUUAAUUAACAUUUCUAGCUCAGUUUAUUUCUGUCACGCCACUAAUUACUCGUUUCCCCGGGCACGCCGCCAAAUCUGCCGUAUACAAAGAAAUUUUUCCUGUAUACGAAGCGACAGCUGUACCUGUAAUCAAAUAAUACUACAACCAGUAGUAUAGAGCUGCAAGAAGAAAUGAGAUAUAAAAACAGAAGUU
rnacentral:lncRNA from 1 species